GUGGAUUCGAUACCCCAGUAGUCCACGCCGUAAACGAUGAUAACUAGCUGUCCGGGCUCAUGGAGCUUGGGUGGCGCAGCUAACGCAUUAAGUUAUCCGCCUGGGGAGUACGGUCGCAAGAUUAAAACUCAAAGGAAUUGACGGGGGCCUGCACAAGCGGUGGAGCAUGUGGUUUAAUUCGAAGCAACGCGCAGAACCUUACCAGCGUUUGACAUCCUCAUCGCGAUUUCCAGAGAUGGAUUUCUUCAGUUCGGCUGGAUGAGUGACAGGUGCUGCACGGUUGUCGUCAACU
rnacentral:rRNA from 1 species